UACAGAGGUCUCAAGCGUUGUUCGGAAUCACCGGGCGUAAAGGGCGCGUAGGCGGCGACCCAAGUCAGAUGUGAAAGUCCUGGGCUUAACCUGGGGACUGCAUUUGAUACUGGGUUGCUUGAAUUCGGGAGAGGAUAGCGGAAUUCCCAGUGUAGAGGUGAAAUUCGUAGAUAUUGGGAAGAACACCGGUGGCGAAGGCGGCUAUCUGGACCGACAUUGACGCUGAGGCGCGAAAGCGUGGGGAGCAAACAGG
rnacentral:rRNA from 1 species